GCGGAUGGCCGGAUGGCCGCGGCCCGGGCGACCGGGGCGAGGAAAGUCCGGACUCCAGGAAGAAAUGGCGGCGGGUAACGCCCGCCCGGGGCAACCCGAGGGAAAGCGCCACAGAGAAGAGACCGCCUCCGGCCCCGGACCCUGGUCCGGAUCUCCGGGGGCAAGGGUGAAACGGUGGGGUAAGAGCCCACCGCGCCGGCGGUGACGUCGGCGGCAUGGCAAGCCCCGCCAGGAGCAAGGCCAAAUAGGGAUCGCGUGGGAUUUCAUCCCAGGGUGCUUCCGCCCGAGCGAUCCGGGUUGGCCGCUGGAGCCCGUCGGCGACGGCGGGCCUAGAGGAAUGGUCAUCCGCUUCGCGGCAACUGCCUGACGAAGCGACAGAAUCCGGCUUACAGGCCAUCCGCGCGC
rnacentral:RNase_P_RNA from 1 species